ensembl:ncRNA ZC53.21 ncRNA
UCAAUCAUGAGAUACAUCUCAACAUCAUGAAGUUUGUCUAAUUCUACUUUAGUUUUCUUAAGCAUAGCAUCCCAAGCUAAUCCUGGAGAAGUAAAGUACCAACAAGGAUCAAGUUGAUAAACCCUUAGACUCAAAGCUCUGAAGUUUUC